UUCUAAUCCUAAUUCAUUAUUUUAUGCUUGGUGCAUGGAUCUACAGCUAUGCAAGAUCGACUCCGAGGGAAAGGCAAGAAAAGUCGUGGGUUGUUCAUGUGUCGUUGUCAAGGAUUAUGGUGAAGAAUCAGAGGGUCUACAUAUAGUUCAAGAAUAUGUAAAAUCCCACUGAACUAUAAGAACUGAUUAAUAGCGGGUCUAUCGUAAUAGCUUAUUGGAGUUUGCUGAAAAACUUUCACCAUUAAGGCUUUAUGUGGAAUUUUGAAAUUGUUAGUUUGCAGACUUCUGUCUAGACACUAUUUAUCGAUUUUUCUUGGUAGGGUUUUAUUUUUGCCUGCAAAAUCUGCAUUUUGGAGGGUCUCUCCACAUUCUUGUUCUUAAAUUAUGCAGAAGUAGGUCAAAUUAAAUAGGCUUUUAAUGGGGAAACAUUUUUUUUGUUGUAUUUUGAGUUCUCUCGUUAUAAACUGCUAUUGAUUAAAAUCAUCAA